ensembl:lincRNA Gm19710 predicted gene, 19710
GCUCCUCAGACACGAAGCUUCUAUACGCUACCUUUCAGUUUUGAGUGAGGGUGGACGUGCGAAAUUCCCAGUUCAAGAUCACGUCCCUUCUAGGAGAUUCUUUCUCCUGCUGAUCUGCCAGGCCCCCGAGGGGGGUUUCCGUUUCUCUCUGGAGGGUCCCAGGGUUUCUGUGUGGUGUUCAGACUGUCCUGGAACUGAUUGUAGACCAAAGGGGCUUACAAACCCGCCUGCCUAAUGCCUCCCAGAUGCUGGGAUUUAAGGCGGUUACCACCACACGCUGCUUUUAAAAAACUAAACAGAUGGCCAACUAACAAGCCUUCGAGCCUGCUAGAAGAGGCCCCAGUUGGUACGGUAAUACUUAUUCACCAAGCUGGUCAUCGACGAGAGUGAGGAUAUCCUAGACGGAGCAAGAAUGGGCAGAGGCUGAAGAACCUACUAUGAAGCUUACUUUUCAAGCACAGAAAAUUUGGUCUACAUAGCCUCUUUUACAAGGUGACUUUUUUUUUUUAAACCUUAAAGUAGAAGAAAAUGAAAAAUGGACAAGAAAACUUUGGAGAUAAAAUGGUGAGUUGGUUCUAUUCUUGUUCAGUUGACUUCCCCACUACCCACUGCCCUUGUCUAAAAAACAAACAAAGCAACU